rnacentral:rRNA from 1 species
AUGCCAAAGCAGCGGCACGGGAAACGCCUAGGCGCUCUUGAGCUAGAGCCUCGGCCUCGGCAGGAUCACCUGUACCUUGUCUUUGAUGACUGGUCGUUCGGAUAUACCAUCCGCAAGGUAAAUACGUCGAAUCGCUUCAAUCCCCCCGUGCAGCGCUUGCCUCGGCCUUUCUUCAAAUUGGAGGCGCCGCACGAGUCUCCGGAGUACUUCGCGUCAGCCUUUGGCACUAGGAUUUUGCUGAUGCAUCCCAGGGAUCCUGCGGGUCAUAACUUGUCCGGCAGCUUCUUCCCCAUGUUGGACGUCCGCUCGCGGAGUCUCACCUUUGGCCCUGGGCUCGAGUUUCCGAUUCAUCCCGUCUAUCUCGCCGUCGGCAAUAAGCUAUUCAUUAUUGCCGAAGCCUCUUUUGAGAUGCUCUACUUGGAUCCACAAUCUGGCUCCGAGUGGUCGUGGGAACUGCUCCCACAUCCGCCAUUCCAGAUUUACGACGUCUGCUCGUACGCUUUGUACGGACAUUCUCUCCUUGUGAGCACCGAGAACGAAGCCUUUGCUGCCACCUUCACCUUUGACACGGUAAAAAGUUCAUGGAAACAACUUGGCAAGUGGGUGCUGCCUUUCGAGGGUCGUGGUCACUUCGACCCUCUCCUGGGCGCAUUUGUUGGGCUCUCGAAAGACCCAGACACCCUCGGCCAACUCAUUUGCUGCUACAUGCACACCUCCGACACUGGCCACACCCUUGAGUUGAAGCUCAGCAAGGAGAAGCUGUUCAGCGAGGACCCAGCCUUGAGGCACAUAGGCGCCACCCUUGUGUACAUGGAAAGCCAGAGCAAAUUCUGCCUCGUAGAAUGUGUCUCCAUUGUUGACGACAGUGCUGAUCAGGAGCUCAAGGAAGAGGAAGACCUGCCCCAAUCUGGCUGCUGUCUUUGUUGUUUGACUACAUUCUAUCUCUGUCAUGACAUGAAUGGAGACCCGACGACCGGCAGGAGCUGUAUGGUGCAGUACUACGAAGUGCCUAGAGCAACCUCUAUGUUGUUCCUCCAAGAUCCUGUUGCAUUUUGGAUGUAA